rnacentral:tRNA from 1 species
GGCGGCGGCGCGGUCCUGGCGGCCGCGGGCCCGUUCGGCCCGGGGGCUUGAGGCCGGCGAGUUCUGCGUCCUGCCGCCGUCGCC